rnacentral:rRNA from 1 species
CGCAUCUGUGCAUGCAGCAUAUCAAUAAGCGGAGGAAAAGAAACUAACAAGGAUUCCCUUAGUAACGGCGAGUGAAGCGGGAAGAGCUCAAAUUUGAGAUCUUGCAAGGUUUACCUUUCACGAAUUGUAGUUUAAAGAAGUGUUUUCUGCUUACGAUUUGGUAAUAAGUUCUUUGGAAUAGGACAUCAUAGAGGGUGAGAAUCCCGUAUAUUGACCAUUGGAUUUGUCAGCUUUGUGAUACACUUUCAAAGAGUCGGGUUGUUUGGGAAUGCAGCCCAAAACGGGAGGUAAAUUUCUUCUAAGGCUAAAUAUUGGCGAGAGACCGAUAGCGAACAAGUACCGUGAGGGAAAGAUGAAAAGAACUUUGAAAAGAGAGUUAAAUAGUACGUGAAAUUGUCAAAAGGGAAGCGUUUAACACCAGUGUUGUUUUCUGAAAAUCAACCUCUGUUAGCUUUAUGCAUGUUUGUUUAGACCUAAUCAGCUAUCUUGCAUGUUCUAUUGUUUGCAGUGGUGCACUUUUCAGUUUACAGGUCAACAUCAGUUUUUUUUACCGUAAAAAAGUUAAAGAAAGGUAGCUCAUGGCUCCGGUCGUGAGUGUUAUAGUCUUUUUCCUAUGCGGUAGGAGAGACUGAGGUCUGCAGUGUAGGCUAUUUGGCUAGAUACUCAGGUGCUAUGUGAUACCAUUUCAUAAACAACUUGUUGAUUAUGUUUUGUCUAUUGCAUACUCGCUUGUACUAUCAUACCUACGCUUAGGAUGUUGACGAUCAGCUGAGCGCG